CGUGACGCCCACCGGGUGCGACGCUGUUCACGUGGAUGCGGAGCGGGUCACGUGGCAAUACCGUUUGGGCUUUGACUGAGGGCAGUCCUCGGGCGUCUCCUUGUGGCGGCGGGAGGUGUUGUCGGCAGUGAACUGCGCGCGAGAGGCUGGAGAAAGGAAGUGGGCUUAGAGGGGCUCGAACGCUCCCCCAGGCACUGGACGGUGCUGGUGCAAUUGGAUGAUGACACAGCCCCGUGAACAGGGGAAACAGACCUGUUGCUGGAUAUUCAGUUUACAACCCACAAGCAGCUGGGACUGUGAGGUCCGGAGGCUUCCUGGAGGAAGAGGCAUCUAAGCCAUGAAUGAGAUUGCUGGGCUGAAAAUACAUUACUCUCAUUAACUGGACUCUGCAAGCAGCAAGCGACCGAACCUGCAUUUCAGUUACAAUUUUGGUGACCCAUAGGGGGAAGUGCUGUCCGCUCUAGGUGAGUCUGAGAUGGACAGCCCUGUUAUGCUCCUGGGUGAGGCAUGGGGUCACCUGUGAGUGCCAGCUGCUCAUAGAUAGCGGAUCCCCUGACAGGAACAUUAUGGAACUUUCUGGCAGCUGCCAAAAGUGCUUUUGUUUUUGGAGGAGGCUUCCUUUCACCUCCCGGUAUGACAUCUGCCAUCUUCAGUGUUUCACUGGUACAAAGCAAGUGACCUCUGAAGAAGACAGCAAACUUUGAAACUGGGUAAGUUACUUGGAGUGCACCUGACCCCUGACCACCCUCUACUUUUUUUUUUUUUUUCUGAGAC